UACGAAGGGGGCUAGCGUUGUCCGGAUUUAUUGGGUUUAAAGGGUGCGUAGGCGGCCUUGUAAGUCAGUGCUGAAAUAUUCCGGCUUAACCGGGAGGGUGGCAUUGAUACUGUGAGGCUAGAGUACAGAUGAGGUAGGCGGAAUUGACGGUGUAGCGGUGAAAUGCUUAGAUAUCGUCAAGAACACCUAUAGCGAAGGCAGCUUACUAGGCUGUAACUGACGCUGAGGCACGAAAGUGUGGGGAUCAAAC
rnacentral:rRNA from 1 species